UACGAAGGGUGCUAGCGUUAUUCGGAAUUACUGGGCGUAAAGGGUGUGUAGGCGGUUUAUUAAGUCUACUGUUAAAUUUCUCAGCCUAACUGGGAGUCGGCGGUAGAAACUGGUUUACUAGAGUGUGGGAGAGAGAGGUGGAAUUCUCGGAGUAGCGGUAAAAUGCGUAGAUCUCGAGAGGAACACCGAUGGCGAAGGCAGCCUCUUGGCCCACUACUGACGCUGAGACACGAAAGCGUGGGGAGCAAACAGG
rnacentral:rRNA from 1 species